AGCUUGCUUUAUAUAACUUAGCAGCGAACGGGUGAGUAACACGUAGAUAAUCUAUCCUAUACUGGGGGAUAGCCCGAUGAAAGUUGGAUUAAUACCGCAUAUAGCUAUAUAGUUGCAUGAUUAUGUAGUGAAAGAUUUAUUGGUAUAGGAGGAGUCUGCGGCACAUUAGCUAGUAGGUGAGGUAAAGGCUUACCUAGGCGACGAUGUGUAGCCGGUCUGAGAGGAUGAACGGCCACAAUGGAACUGAGACACGGUCCAUACUCCUACGGGAGGCAGCAGUGGGGAAUAUUGCACAAUGGGGGAAACCCUGAUGCAGCAACGCCGCGUGAGUGAAGAAGGUUUUCGGAUUGUAAAGCUCUGUUAGCAGGGAAGAGGAAGGACGGUACCUGCAGAGGAAGCCACGGCUAACUACGUGCCAGCAGCCGCGGUAAUACGUAGGUGGCAAGCGUUGUUCGGAAUAACUGGGCGUAAAGGAUGCGUAGGCGGUUAAACAAGUUAUAUGUUAAAUAUAUAGGCUUAACCUGUAGAAAGCAUAUAAAACUGUUUAACUAGAGUGCAGGAGAGGUAAGUGGAAUUCCUAGUGUAGCGGUGAAAUGCGUAGAGAUUAGGAAGAACACCAGUGGCGAAGGCGACUUACUGGACUGUAACUGACGCUGAGGCAUGAGAGCAUGGGGAGCAAACAGGAUUAGAUACCCUGGUAGUCCAUGCUGUAAACGAUGGGUACUAGGUGUGGGUUGU
rnacentral:rRNA from 1 species